CUAACAAGGAUUCCCCUAGUAACGGCGAGUGAAGCGGGACCAGCUCAAAUUUGAAAUCUCCGAUGCUUGCAUCGGCGAGUUGUAGUUGCGAGAAGCACUUUCUAGGUGGAUCGGUCGUGCCUAAGUUGCUUGGAACAGCACGUCGCAGAGGGUGACAACCCCGUCUGUGGCGCGGCCGGCCGCCGACGAUGUGCUUUCGAAGAGUCGGGUUGUUUGGGAAUGCAGCCCAAAAAGGGUGGUAAACUCCAUCUAAAGCUAAAUACUGGCGUGAGACCGAUAGCGAAGGAAACGAAUGGACUCAGCAAUGCGCCGUUUGAGAUUCAGCCGGUGGGUGGGAUCGGCCUGGGGUUUGCGGAUCCGAACGGACCGCGGUCUUGGGCUCGUUUCUCCCCGCCGUCGCACUUCUCUUGGGCGCGCGUCAACGUCGGUUGGGACCGGGUCUGAAAGUCGCCGGGAAGGUAGGUCUGGACCUCCGGGUCUGGUCUAUUAUAGCCUGGCCUCUCAUGGCUCGGGCCCGACCGAGGAGUCGCAGCGCAUGCCUCUUGUGGCUAGGGUCCCGUCCUUCCGGCCGGUUGUCGAAUGCGGUGGACUGCUUGCAGUGCUCUGCGACUGCUGCCGGUCGUUGGGGUGGUGAUCU
rnacentral:rRNA from 1 species